rnacentral:rRNA from 1 species
AGAAUCAACGCUGGCGGCGUGCCUCAGACAUGCAAGUCGAACGAUUAAACUUUCCUUCGGGAAAGAUAUAAAGUGGCGCACGGGUGAGUAACGCGUAAGUAAUCUGCCUUUGAGUGGGGAAUAACCCGGGGGAAACCCGAGCUAAUACCGCAUAAUGCAGCGGCAUCGCAAGAUGACAGUUGUUAAAGGAGCAAUCCGCUUAAAGAGGAGCUUGCGGCAGAUUAGCUAGUUGGUAAGGUAAUGGCUUACCAAGGCUACGAUCUGUAACCGGUCUAAGAGGACGGUCGGUCACACUGACACUGAAUAACGGGUCAGACUCCUACGGGAGCAGCAGUCGGGAAUUUGGGCAAUGGGCGAAAGGCCUAGACCCAGCAACGCCGUGUAGAAGAUGAAGUAUUUCGGUAUGUAAACUUCGAAAGAAUGGGAAGAAUAAAUGAACGGUACCUAAUUUAAGUAAGGUCCGUACUUAAACUACGUGCCAAGCAGCCGAC